UUUUCUCUGAGCCAGUACAACGUAACGCCAAUCGAAAAGCAUCAUGGAGGCAUAGCUGUGGCAUAUGAUGCUCAGCUCGAUCUGCCAUGGCUCGCACCAUCCCCUAAUGGGCCUAGUGUAGCCGGGUGGUAUCUCGAUACGGAGAUGCUGUCUUGGGUGCUCGUGUCUUCAAUACUCUAGAGCGAGGUUCUUCGAUGGAUCUCGCCCUCGCCUCACUACUGGUGG
rnacentral:lncRNA from 1 species